rnacentral:lncRNA from 1 species
CCUACCUUGCCCACCGGCGCCCCGUGCCAGGCCUCUGCAGGAGUGCUCUGUGCUUUCCUGCAGGCCCCGCUCCUCCCGACCGCCCUUCGCCGAACGCCCGAUAAGGAUGAAGAAAAUCCUCGGGACAGACUUGUUUUAAAUCAGUGUAACACAACGCCAGCAUUGUCUCCCCUCAAGAUGAACUUUCAAAUUAAAUCUGGCAUGAGCUUUACCAGAGCCCCGAGCAGCUUCACUCCUGAGACACUGUACCCACCCUGUCAGGGAGAAAAUAAUUUGGGUAUUGUGGUUGUGGUUCAUCGAAGUCAGUAGGGAGAGGCAGGAGCAG